ensembl:snRNA U6 U6 spliceosomal RNA
GUGCCUUCUUAGGCAGUACAUAUGCCAAAAACUGGGAUGACACAGAAAAGAUCAGCAUGGCCCCUGAACAAGGAUGACAUGCAAAUUUGUGAAGUGUUUCAUAAUUUA